rnacentral:ncRNA from 2 species
GAGCGCGCCAAGGGGUGUUCGCUGAAUGAUUCAGCCAACUGAGACGCUUAAUUGCGAACCCUUAGAACCUGAUCCGGCUAGUACCGGCGUAGGAAUGGGCCACAAUUCGCAC